rnacentral:rRNA from 1 species
GACGAACGCUGGCAGCGUGCUUAACACAUGCAAGUCGAACGGUAAGGCUCCAGCUUGCUGGGGUACACGAGUGGCGAACGGGUGAGUAACACGUGGGUGACCUGCCCUGCACUUCGGGAUAAGCCUGGGAAACUGGGUCUAAUACCGGAUAGGACCAUGGUGUGGAUACUGUGGUGGAAAGUUUUUUCGGUGUGGGAUGGGCCCGCGGCCUAUCAGCUUGUUGGUGGGGUAAUGGCCUACCAAGGCGGCGACGGGUAGCCGGCCUGAGAGGGUGGACGGCCACAUUGGGACUGAGACACGGCCCAGACUCCUACGGGAGGCAGCAGUGGGGAAUAUUGCACAAUGGGCGGAAGCCUGAUGCAGCGACGCCGCGUGGGGGAUGACGGCCUUCGGGUUGUAAACUCCUUUCACCAUCGACGAAGGGUUUCUGACGGUAGAUGGAGAAGAAGCACCGGCUAACUACGUG